rnacentral:rRNA from 1 species
AGUGAACGCUGGCGGCAGGCCUAACACAUGCAAGUCGAGCGGCAGCGCGUCCGACCACCCUCGGGUGGUCGGAUGGCGGCGAGCGGCGGACGGGUGAGGAAUGCAUCGGAAUCUGCCUCGUUGUGGGGGAUAACGUAGGGAAACUUACGCUAAUACCGCAUACGACCUACGGGUGAAAGUGGGGGACCUUCGGGCCUCACGCGAUGAGAUGAGCCGAUGCCGGAUUAGCUAGUUGGCGGGGUAAAGGCCCACCAAGGCGACGAUCCGUAGCUGGUCUGAGAGGAUGAUCAGCCACACUGGAACUGAGACACGGUCCAGACUCCUACGGGAGGCAGCAGUGGGGAAUAUUGGACAAUGGGGGCAACCCUGAUCCAGCCAUGCCGCGUGGACGAUGAAGGCCUUAGGGUUGUAAAGUCCUUUCAGAUGGGAAGAUAAUGACGGUACCCAAAGAAUAAGCACCGGCUAACUUCGUGCCAGCAGCCG